CCUACGGGGGGCAGCAGUGGGGAAUAUUGCACAAUGGGGGAAACCCUGAUGCAGCGACGCCGCGUGAAGGAAGAAGUAUUUCGGUAUGUAAACUUCUAUCAGCAGGGAAGAAAAUGACGGUACCUGACUAAGAAGCCCCGGCUAACUACGUGCCAGCAGCCGCGGUAAUACGUAGGGGGCAAGCGUUAUCCGGAUUUACUGGGUGUAAAGGGAGCGUAGGCGGUUUAGCAAGUCAGAAGUGAAAGCCCGGGGCUAAACUCCGGGACUGCUUUUGAAACUGUUGAACUAGAGUGCAGGAGAGGUAAGUGGAAUUCCUAGUGUAGCGGUGAAAUGCGUAGAUAUUAGGAGGAACACCAGUGGCGAAGGCGGCUUACUGGACUGUAAAUGACGCUGAGGCUCGAAAGCGUGGGGAGCAAACAGGAUUAGAUACCCUAGUAGUC
rnacentral:rRNA from 1 species